rnacentral:rRNA from 1 species
UACGAAGGGGGCUAGCGUUGUUCGGAAUCACUGGGCGUAAAGCGCACGUAGGCGGAUCUUUAAGUCAGGGGUGAAAUCCCGAGGCUCAACCUCGGAACUGCCUUUGAUACUGGGGAUCUCGAGUCCGGGAGAGGUGAGUGGAACUGCGAGUGUAGAAGUGAAAUUCGUAGAUAUUCGCAAGAACACCAGUGGCGAAGGCGGCUCACUGGCCCGGAACUGACGCUGAGGUGCGAAAGCGUGGGGAGCAAACAGGG